rnacentral:lncRNA from 1 species
AAAAUUCAUACCAGAUGGAUCAACGAUUUUAAAUAUAUCUAAAGGUACAAUGAAUCCCCAUUUAUACAAAAUUCAUUUCGAGUUCAUACAAUAUUCACACAAGUACUUAUUGUUACAAAUAUUUUAUGUUGUUUUGACUGUUAAACACAAAUUUUAUUUUAUGGAGUGUAUUUGGUAUUAUUAACAUUGAUAAAUUCUGAUUUUGUGAAAAUUGUCCAACUAUAAAUAACAUUGAAAUACGCUUUGUAUAAAUGUGAACCACCGUAUACAAGUACUAUUCAAAUUCCUUACAUAGUGUUGGAUUUUAAAAAGGUGUCUAUGGAAAAUGAAGAGUUGCGAUUUUUAUGAAGAGUUGUGACUUUUAUGAAAUGUUGCAACUUUUAUGAAAAGUUGUGACUUUUAUGAAAAGUUGUGACUUUUAUGGAAAGUUGUGACUUUUAUGAUAAAUGACGACCUUUCUGAAAGAUUGUGACUUUUUCAAAGGUUUGUGACCUUUUUGAUAAGGCACAAUAAGAACCUUUUCGCACUACCCUUUGUUUUCUAUAAAUUGAGGGAUUUCCUCUCAUUUUAAUAUAGAAUUCAUGGACUUCUUCUUCAACUACUAAAUCUAGUAUUCUAAGUGUACUUUACUAUCGUUGAGUGGUUCACUGAUGGAGUUUUUGAUAUCUAUACUCUGGUUAUUGAGAUCAUUUUACCCUGGGAGGUCAUAUUCCAAAUCAAACCUCGGAGUACUAGAGGGGAAUAAUUUCCUUAAGGGGACACUGUGAGUUCAGUGGACUUGAUCUUUUUCCUAUUAAAAUUUUUCGAGAUUCUGGUACGUAUUUUACAAAUAUUAGAUUUGGAAAUUAAUUCCAGUUCUUCUAUUCUUCACUGGUUCAAUAAACGUGGUAACUUCGUGUUUCUGCAAAGUUUAUUGGAAUCAGUAAGAUUCUUUAGACACAUAUUUAACAACAAUUCAUCUUUAAAAAAUAUUUUGUAUAUUUUCUUUAAUCUGUUUCUGAUUCUAGUUUCGCUACUAGUUUUAAUUUUCUAGUUGUGAAAAUGUUCUUAAACUUUGUUGUCUUACAAAGAUGUUCAAAGUUUUGUUCUAAGUAUGUUUGGAAUAUAUGUCUUGUCGCGCUCCAUUUUCGCAGAAAACAGGUUUUGUGCACGACCUAACAACUCUUUUGGGAUUUUCGAGUUUGGAGUCGCCACCUAACGAAUUAAGGCGCGUUAGGGCACCUAUUUAACCUAACUAAAUCUAACUAAGGUCAACGGGCCAGAGAUUAGGGUAAGGGUUCAAAUUACCUCGAGGGGAAGGUGUUAGGCAUCCCUCGAGGUCCACAAGUGUGGGUCCCGGCCGUAUCUCAUGCAAUCUAUGUGGGGGUACAAGUAGCAAUCAAGGUCGUUUAAUUUAUUAAUUUAUUUGAUCUUACUAAGUGAUAACAAAUAUAAAACACUUAAUACUAUUAAUUUAAGCAUGCAAGGCUAGGUGAUAGCAAUAAAUAAACAAUCAAGUUUUAUUUAUAUUUAAGCAUGAGACUAAGUUAUAAACAAAAUUUAUAAAUAUUAAACAAUUAAUAUGUGAGAAAGUAAUGUUUUGAAAAUUGAGCAAGUUUUGAAUAUGAAUUUUUAUUUUAAAAAAUAUUUGUUUCUUUAUAGGGAUGAUGCCACGAUAUUAUUGAUCGUGCUUCUCCACCAUAGAAACAAUUUUGAUUUGAGGUUGGUCUAAAAAUAGUUUAUGUUUUUGAAAAAUGAUUUAGUUUACACGUAGGCAUAUAAACAUUUACAUAUAAAUGCAUAUAAUUUCUUUUGAAAUUCAUGGGUAGGUGGUACUUCCGGGGACGCGUCGGGUUUAAAAAGUUGGAACUAGACCUCGUAGUUCCUUUGACUUUCCCACUAAUGAUAGGUUAGGAGAUAGUGCUUAUAAUUUUUUUUAAAAAUAAACAAUGUCAUAAUCAAUCCAAAGUUUUAAAGAAAGAUUGAAUAAUGACUUUUUAAGAAAAUUAUGUUGCAAGGUUUUGAUAUGAAAUAAUUUUUUUUGAAAGCCAAGUAAUUUGCUAAAUGCGUGAAAUGAUUCUAAUUUAUUUUUUUUUUAAAAAACAUAUUGCAUCAUGAAUGAGGAAGACAAAUAGAAUUAAUAUCAACCAAUUUUGGGGGAAGGACACAAAUAUGCACAAACAAAUUUUAUUUUUACGAAUAUGUUAAGAGUUUAUUUACAAGCCUAUAGACAUGAUUUCUAGGUGUUCAAAAAAAAAGUAACACAUAUAUGCAUAAUUUUGUAAAUUUAAAUGUUAUGAACAAAUUAAACCUUAGACAUGGUUUCUACAUGACAAGAUGAUGCUAAAAUUAUAACAUUGAUAAAACACCUAUCAGCCUAUUAUGAUUUUAUUUUAAAAUUAACGGAAUCUAGUUUAAUAUUUUUUAGACUUAUUAACAAAGCAUCAAACAAUUGAUUGGAUUAUAACACCUACAAACAAUAGUUCUAGGUGGUUAAAGGCAAACCUAUAGGCAUGAUUUCUAAAAAUUUAUAAUGAACAACUAGGCAUAUAAAUCCCCCUCCCCUAGACGACUCCCCCAAAUGAAUUUAUUAUAUGAUCUUUAGAGUUACAAUUGUUACAACAUUCGAAUAAAUAAAAUAGGAGAAAAAAUAAAUAAAUACAUAUACAUUCAAAUAAACAAAUAAAUCUUUCUUCAAUUAAUCUUCAACUUGAACUUCAAGUUUGAAACCUGUUAAAGCAGUCAAAUAACGUUUGAGUAGAUUAGAAAUGGUAGCAAUGAAAAGCAAGUUGAUCCAACCUUUACUCGAACAAAAGCAAAAAGCAAGGUAGCGAAGAAGAGCACUUGAAUGUUUAUCGAAAUAUUAAUGUAAUUAGAGUAGCAAGAGAGCAAUGAGAAUGAAGAGUGAUGAGAACUUGUGAUUUUGAGAGUGAAUGAGUGUAUGAGUUGAAGAAUGUUCAACCAUGUGUGUGUAAACAUGUGUAAGGUGUUCAAAUUAAUGAGAUAAAAAUGGUCACUUUUCUAGCAGAGAAGAGGGUAUAUAAUAUAAGUAAAGAAAACAUUUAUGAUUAAUUAAAUAUAGUUUUCCUUAACCAAAGAAGCACAAAAUCAGUAAUAUUUACUAAACUAAUAAAGAUUUUUUCAAAAAUAAACAUGUAAGAAUAAAUUUUAAAAUCCAAUUAUUCUAAAGGACCAAUUAUAUAUCAGUUUUUCCUUUUAAAAAAGGCCAAAUCAGAAAAUUUAUUCUUAGCUUAAUCAAAUAUCUUCCUUAAUAAGCAAAGAGUAAAAUCACUCAUCUUUAUUUCUUAUCAUAACCGAACAAAAAAUUAACCAAAAUAAUCAAAUAAGCAACUUAGUAAAUAUUUUACCUAAGGUAGAAAAUCAAUUAACACAAGUCAGCAAAUUGAUAAAAUUAUAGGAAAUCUGCCAAAGCAAAUGAUUUGUUAAAAAGAAAAGGGCACCAAAUAAGUCCAAACCAUAUUACUUCAUUAUAGUUACUUACUAUAAUCAAAACAAGUAAAAACCAAGGGUCAUUCAUAUAAUUAAUUACAUUUCCCAAAAGAUCAAGUACCCCACACUUUUAAAGGUGAUCUCCAGCAAUUAGAUAAACAUAAUUGACCUAACAGAUCCCAUAUUAGAUCGUCAUUCAAGCAAACAACAUCAUUCACAUAUAUAAUUAGUUGAUUAACACAAAAUUAACAUAAUUGAGUCCACCAGAUUUUCAAGUUUAGCAAGAGCAUGCAUAGAUCAAUCAAGACUUUUACAGAUAAAUAUUUCGACAUCAAAAUUCUGCCACGUAAAUUAGUAGAUUAGCAACACAAUCUAAUGAAACACUAUAAGCAAACUAACAUAUUGUAAUGUCUUGAGCACACGAGAAAAUUGGAAAGUCACAAAUAUUAAUGAACCAGCAACCCAUACACGUGGAUAUUACAGCUUAAAAAAAGAUGAUAGUUCAUACCUGGGAUAGAUCUGUCCUUAUAAUAAUGCCUUGAUUUUUAAUUCUAGAUCCAACUUACUGGAGUGGAGAUUGAUUGUUGUUAAUGUUGAGUUUCCGACAGAGAUGGCUGGCCGGUGGGAGGCGCUGGUUGCUGCUGCUUCGCGGGCUGCUGCCUGUUGGUCAUUGCCGGAGAAUGACGGGUUGCUUGUUCAUGCUGGCCGGAGCAGUUGCUCGUCGUGGAUGCUGGUGUUGCUAUUGCAUCCCUUCAUAAAAAAAAUAAAAAGAGAAAAGAGAAGAAGAAGGGGGAGAGAAGAGACGGGAGGGGGAGAGAGGAGAAGAGAAAAAUGAGGAGAGCUAAAGAGAGCGGGGGAGAGGGAAAUGGGGAGGAGAGAAAGCAUUAGUUGGAGCAGCCUUCGCCAGAGCUCUCGUCGGUCUGCUGGUGGAGAGGCGAGAGACGGGGUCCGGCGACUGAAGAGAGAGGAGAGGGGAGGAGGACGGCUGGUCGGAAAAAGGAGAGAGGGGAGGCUCGCUGAGAAAACAGGGGGAGGGGGAAGACGGCUGAAGAGAGAGGAGCGAAGAUGAUGGGAGAGGCGGCUUUGAGAGGGGGGAGGAAGAG